rnacentral:RNase_P_RNA from 1 species
AGCUGAAUGGCUGCGUGCCGCAAGGCAUGAGGAAAGUCCGGGCACCGCAGGGCAGAAUGCCAGCUAACGGCUGGUGGAGGCGACUCCAAGGCAAGUGCAACAGAAAUAUACCGCCGCUUUCGCGGUAAGGGUGGAAAAGUGCGGUAAGAGCGCACUGGCGGCCUGGCGACUGUGCCGUCCUGUAAACCCCAUUCGGUGCAAGAUCCUGAAAGCGCAUAGGGCUGCCCGUCCUGCUUUCGCAGUAUCGCUGGAGCGCAUUGGCGACUUUGCGCCUAGAUAGAUGGCCGUUUUGAACAGAACCCGGCUUACAGGCUGC